rnacentral:lncRNA from 1 species
GGGAAUGUUUUGUUUUUCACCCAAAAUGAACUAUAUUGCUUCGGAAGAGAUUUAUUACUCUGCCUGACUCUUAUAUAUUGUUCUGUUUUUUGUUUGUUUUUGUUGUUUUCAGGUUCAAUGGUGCGUGUUCUUCUAAUGGCCGCCUUCCCACUGGAGGUUUUGAUCCACAGCAAUUUAAAAGGAGGACAGAUCAAAACGGACAUCGUCGCAGAGUGAAGAACUGCCCUUCAUAAGGACACUAUGACAGCCAUAUAUAUGGCAGUAAGGAAGAGGUUUCCCAAUGUGUCCAGAAGGGCUUUGAGGAUUGCAGUGAAAGCUGGGGGAACUGAGACUGCUGGAAAAGGA